rnacentral:misc_RNA from 1 species
AAAGUCGUAACAAGGUUUCCGUAGGUGAACCUGCGGAAGGAUCAUUAAUAGUAGAUGGGGCGCGAUAGCGUCCUAUGUUCUCGGCGCUAGCCGAGGACUGUGGCAGACACCCGCGAGGGUGGCUGUGAAACAAUGAGAUUUGAGACUAAAACACUGUAUAAAUACAACUUUUAACAAUGGAUCUCUUGGCUCCU